UUAGUGGCUCCGUAGCCGUGUCACUUUGGAUGACACACUCAAGGAAGUGAAACAAUUUAUCUAAUCAAUUGAAACAGGGAUGUACCGACCUCCCAGGACUGCUGUGGAGAUCCAGUGAGAUAACGUGUGCACAGUGUGCAGCGUGGUCCCCAGCACAGAGUCAGUGCUGAGGGAGUGUCAGUGAGUACCUGGUAGGACAGGUGUCUGUGGUGGAACCCGUUGACUAAGGAAAUUGGUCCCUGAAGUAGGGGUCCUCUGACAUC